rnacentral:rRNA from 1 species
UACGAAGGGAGCUAGCGUUGUUCGGAAUCACUGGGCGUAAAGCGCACGUAGGCGGAUGUGUCAGUCAGAGGUGAAAUCCCGGAGCUCAACUUCGGAACUGCCUUUGAUACAGCACGUCUUGAGUCCGAUAGAGGUGGGUGGAAUUCCUAGUGUAGAGGUGAAAUUCGUAGAUAUUAGGAAGAACACCGGUGGCGAAGGCGGCCCACUGGAUCGGUACUGACGCUGAGGUGCGAAAGCGUGGGGAGCAGACAGG